UGUGCCUGGAUUCACCUAAUGCCGGGUGACGGUGAACUGAAACUGAAGCUUAGUCGAGCAAAAUGAGGACAUUACAGUCGGGAGUAUUUAGUAAUAUAAAUAGCAGAAAAUUAGUUAACAGAAUCAUUUUAUUUUUGUGGCUUAUAGUUGUAAUUGUGAUUCAAGAAUUGGAAGGUGCCUCUAUGACAAUAGAGAAUGGUGAGUGGCCUUGGUCUGAAGCCAUAACAACAGAGGAUAAGAGCAUUAAUAGAAAGUUAAAAGUUGUGGUUAUUUGGAGAACAAAUGCUAACUAUUUA